UUGAUUUAAUUCUUUAUUUUAAGUCGAAGAAUUCUUCAAAGUAAGUUUUAUUGCUGAUUUUCCAAAUUUAUAGUAGCAAAGGGUAAUUUCGAAACUUUGCUUGGAAACUUUACUUGGGAAAUUAGCUUAAGAGAGGCUUAGCAAUUGCCACGUGGCAANUAUAUAUUACAUGGUUGUAAAAAUCGGUCUAGACGGCCGAUUAAUUGGCGCCAAGACGCUUGGCAGCCUCCAAUCGCCUACGAAUAGGUGUUAGAGGGUUAGUCUAGGUGGCAUUGGUCAAUAUCGGUCAAAUAGGACCAACUCGGUCCAAUUCGGACCUAAUCGGUCCAGCUGAUUCUAAAGGACCCACCAGCUCAAAGGAGCCAGCUUGCCUAAAACAUGACUGCAUUUGUUUUCAUAUGGAGGAUUCCCUUUUAUAGAGCAUCUUUUCCUUGAUAGAAUGUUCCCAUCUUCGAUGUGGGAUGCUCAAACUUUUACUCUUUCAUAUAUGUCCUUUGCAUUUCCUUCUUCCCUAAUUUUCUUGAUGGUCUGACUCCUACCCUGCUCGACUCCGACUCCUCUCAUACUGUCGUUAGUCUUUUGCCACGACAUCAAAGGAACGCCAUCAAAUUGAGCACCUUCAGACGGCAAGUAGCGAACCCAAUCAACAAUCAAUAAUUGGGUAUUCGCUUGGAAAACGUGAUGACACGAUCGAUGGUGGAGGAUAAUGAUCGGAGAAGUUGUUCCAGAUUGAAUUGUCGACACCCCUAAAUCGUAAAUGUUUCUUCUUCUAUCAUUUCCCAUUAUCCUUCCAUUGCUUCUCUAUCGUCGUUUAGUUCUUCAAUCACUCUCAAGCAUUGUUCAUGCAUCAUCAUUUUCGUUCCAUUGCUACUUCAUCGUCAACUUAACCAUCGUGCUCCACCAUCAUGACCUACCCCACCGUUCCUUUCCAGUGAAGCCCUCUGAAUCGGGAUUUCGACUCAACCAUCGACUUCAACAUCUAGAACAUCAGGUAAGCAAUGGUUUUUUGUAAUUAUUUUUUCUAAAAUCAGUUGGAGUUGAUGUGUGAAAUCAUUUGACAAACAAAUUAUGUACAAAAUCAGUUGGCAAAUGAAUUGUGUAUGAGAUCGGAUUGUAUCUACAUGAAAUGUUUAAUUGUUUUGUGUAUGAAACCAUAUACCCACCAAGUGUUCGAUCAAUUGCCUUAGUGAAUCUUGAUUAAUACUUUAGCAAUAAAUAUAUAUUGGGUUUAACUGUUUUUGUUGGAAUAUAUGCUAAAUAUAAGAAUGGAUUUCUUAUGCAUACAAACACUAAUAGACUAACAGGUAAUAUGAAUUGAUUGGUGAAAUCAUGCCUCACAAUAAUGGAUUGUGAAUUGUAGGACAUAAAAUGGAUUGGUUAUGAACUCAAAAUGAAAGUAUUAAUGCUGAUAAGGUGCAACAACCUACUGAUAAGGUGAAAUCAUGCCUCACAAGAAUGGAUUACUCCUAUUUUCAUUUUUUAACUUGAUACAUUUGUAUGAGUAGACUGUGGAAGACCUCAAAAUAGAAUUUUUGGAAGAUAUGUAUUGGAUAAUUUGUUGUUAGAAUUUUAAUGAGUAGAUGUGAUGUAUUAAUGAUCAAAAGGGUAUUUUGUAAUCAUAUUAUGAUGUUAUAAUGUUAUAUUUAUUAGUUUUUUAAUAACUUUUUUAAUUGAUAUAAUGUUAUAUUUAUUAAUAUUAUAUCUAAUGUUAUAUUCUUAGGAUUAACGUUGUAUUUUUUUAAUUUUUUAAUAUUUUUUUAAUAAUUAAUGGUCUCCGAUUAAUCCCCCGAUUAGUCACUGCCUAGCCGAUACGGUAGGAACCCAAAACUUUGUAACAUCCAAAAUUCUGGUGUGCCUUGAAAACCCUAAGGAAUGAUAAUUUUGCAUAAUUGGACCCUUAAGUACGUUGGGCGUACUUAAGAGUACGCUUAGCGUACUGCAUGACUAUGGUCGCGGAGGAAUCAGGGUACGCGGGGCGUACACGCCAGGGACGCAAAACCCUAAUGUGCGGUCUUGCCACCUAUUUAAACAUCUCUAAGCCUUUGGACUCGACCCUAUUCGCCCCUAGAGCCUCAGUUUCGUCCCUCAUCACCUGAGAAUCUUUGUGAGAAAGAGUUUGAGCCUAAGGAGUGGGUUUUGUGGUCUUUGUAAAGUUUAUUCAUGAAGGAGAUCCUAAGCAAACUUGGAGUGGCUUGGAGCUUCAAGAUUCUGCACUUAGUUCACCUUGGGAUGCUUCUGGAGGUAUAAAUUCGUGACCUUUCCAUCUUGUUCUUUAGAUCUAGUUAUGGUUUCCAUUUUGUCCCCUUUAGUUGGAUCUAGACCUUCUCUUGGAUGUGAUGCAACUCUAGAGACUGAGAUGUCCAGAUCUGAGCUUUGUAUGCAUGCUAAGUGCAUAAAGUUAUGAGCUUGGUGGGUGCUAAGACUCCAUGCAUGAUUUUAGAGCUCUUACUUAAGAUCUUAGAGUGAGAAAUGAGGUUUUGAGGUCCUUCAUAGCAUGCAAGGUCAUAAAGUUGCAAGCUUUAUGACCUAGGUCGUUAAGAUGUGCUCAGAUCUGAUUUUGGGACGUUAACCUAUCGAGUAAUAAGAACUUAAUGGAAAGAGUGCUUAAUAUGUUCCUACGUUGGGCGUAGCAUAGAGAACGUCGUGCGUAAUGUGUAAAAGCCCGGUACGCUACGCGUACCAUGGUGGUACGCAUGGCGUACGCACCCCUGAUGGACUUGAACUUGUUUUGGGCUCAUAAGCCUUUUGGGCCUUAAUCUAUCUUUGGGCCUGGCCAUAAUUCGAGUUAAUGGUUCAACUGAUCAGUCUUGGGAUGGAAGUAUUAUAGUUGGACCUUGAUGGGCCAUGUGGCCCAUUAAUAAAUUUUAAACAUGGACAUUGGGGCCCAUUAGCCAAUGAAGACUCUUGGGGCAUUAGGAAAGGACUUUGGGGUUAAGUUUUCAGUUUAGCCAUGAUCAAACUCUAAUCUUGGGUUAAUAUUAUUAUUGUUCGACACUAGUGGUUUCGGAAUGUUAAGAGAGCAACUAUUGUAUUCAGCAGUUGGAGGUGAGUCUUCUCACCAUACCUAUGUGUCUACGGCACCAAGGUCGGCCCAUUAUGUGAUCAUGUUAUGUGUGUGUUAUUCGUUUAUGAAUUGAUAUGUUAUGUGAUAUUAUGCUGGUAUGGAAGACCACGGGGGAGCCCGUGGCAUUGGAUAUAAGACCAUGUGGAGUAGCCCAUGGCAUUCCUAGGUAAAGACCAUGUGGGGUAGCCCAUGGCAGUCCUAGGUAAAGACCAUGUGGGGUAGCCCAUGACAUUCUUGCUGGAUUAUAUUGCAUGGUUUCUGUGGCAUGUUAUAGCUUUAUUAGCUAACAGGAUAUGUGUAUGUGAAUGUGUGUGGUAUGCUCUGCGAAACUCACUAAGCAUUUCUCUUACAGGUUGUUGAUUUGUUUCAGGUACUUCUGAGCCCAAGGGCAAGGGCAAGGUGUGAUGACGUGACGCGCACUCUAUCUCUCUUUUUUUAAUGUAUGUGGGACCCUUUGUUGUUUAAAAAAGGAAAACAAUGAUGUAAUGAAUGUUAUUUUGAAAACAUAUGUUGGGAAACUAUGGUUUAUGAGAUUGGUUUUGGUUAACGUAAAAAUGAAAAAAUUUCUUUGUAAAACUGGGUCGUUACAAAUUUGGUAUGAACUACGAUGACUAUUCUCCACCAAUCAUUUAGUCAAUGACACAAACGUCAAACUCAUUUACUUGGUCGUGACGUGUUCGCACGCGGUGCACGUGUAUGGAACGUAAUACGAACUCGAGGGAAUAAUCAU
rnacentral:lncRNA from 1 species